AAUAUUGCGCAAUGGACGGAAGUCUGACGCAGCGACGCCGCGUGAGCGAUGAAGGCCUUCGGGUCGUAAAGCUCUGUCCUUGGGGAAGAAGGUCUUCGGACUUGACGGUACCCAAGAAGAAAGCCCCGGCUAACUACGUGCCAGCAGCCGCGGUAAUACGGAGGAUGCAAGCGUUAUCCGGAUUUAUUGGGUUUAAAGGGUCCGUAGGCGGGCAUAUAAGUCAGAGGUGAAAUCCGACAGCUUAACUGUCGAACUGCCUUUGAAACUGUAUGUCUUGAGUGAGAUUGAAGCAGCUGGAAUGUGUAGUGUAGCGGUGAAAUGCAUAGAUAUUACACAGAACACCGAUAGCGUAGGCAGGUUGCUAAGUCUUUACUGACGCUGAUGGACGAAAGCGUGGGGAGCAAAC
rnacentral:rRNA from 1 species